rnacentral:tRNA from 2 species
GCUGAUAUAGCCAAGCGGUAGGGCAAGGGUCUGCAAAACCUGGAUUCUCGGUUCGAAUCCGAGUAUCACCU